rnacentral:rRNA from 1 species
CAAUAGCGUAUAUUAAAGUUGUUGCAGUUAAAAAGCUCGUAGUUGGAUUUCUGGUGGGAGCGAUCGGUCUGGCGCUUAGCGCGAGUACUUGCAUCGUCUCCGGCCAUCCUUGGGGAGAGUCUGUCUGGCAUUAAGUUGUCGGGCAGAGGAUCCUCAUCGUUUACUGUGAAAAAAUUAGAAUGUUCAAAGCAGGCUUAUGCCGUUGAAUAUAUUAGCAUGGAAUAAUAAGAUAGGACUUUGGUACUAUUUUGUUGGUUUGCGCACCAAAGUAAUGAUUAAUAGGGACAGUUGGGGGUAUUCGUAUUCCGUUGUCAGAGGUGAAAUUCUUGGAUUUACGGAAGACGAACUACUGCGAAAGCAUUUACCAAGGAUGUUUUCAUUAA